CCUCGAGUCGUGGAACGUGAUAAAGUUACUUUAGCAACUGCCUCAAUAACUGCAUCAUAAUGCGUUACGUUUGUUGAUACCUUGGGCGACUUGAACAUUUGGACGAGACUUUGGACGACCGUAUUCCACUCUAUUCGUUCAGACUCUGAGCGACUUGCAAACUUGGACGAUGGCGUUACCGCACUAUUGGGCCCCUUAUUUGGGCAUUCACCUUGAUUCGUUCAAUUGGAUUUCGUUCUUUGGGCUAUCUGAUUUGGGGAUCCUCCCAUUGGGUUUUAUUCUCUGGGCUGUUCGAUUUGGGCUGAAUUUUUAUGUGUCAACAGCCAUAUUUUCUUCCUACUUGGAUGGCUAGUUAUACUUGAGGCCCACUCUAUAUUCCACUACGUGUUAUUGGGCCAUGACCUAUUAGAGAAAAAACCUCAAAUGAUACUGAACUUUGCCCAAAGUCCCCAAGGAGGUCACUAAACUUCAAAACGUCCAUAAGUAGUCACUGAACUUAGCUCGAAGUCCCCUAAGAGGUCACCGAGUUUCAAAACGUCCCUAAAUGAUCACUGAACUUUGAAAAAAGUUUCUAGGGAGCCGCUAAAGUUUGCAAAUUACUGAACUUUGUGAAGAUGUAUGGGAUCUCAAUUUGCAAACUUCAGUGACCCUUUAGGAACUUUUUACAAAAUUUAAUACCAUUUAGGGAUAUUUUGAAGUUUGAUGACCUCAUAGGGGACUUCGGGCAAAGUUCAGUGACUAUUUAGGGACGUUUUGAAAUUCGGUGACCUCCUGGGGGAUUUCGGGCAAAGUUCAGUGACCAUUUGAGAUUUUAACUCUGACUGAUUACCUAGACCUAACUUACCUUAUUUGUGACUUGACCCAAUAUUUAUUCACUUGAUCUUGGACGCCACUAUCAUACAAGACUUGAUGUCUCUGUUCUUCAUCUUUGCAUGCUCUCUCUCGACCUCUACUCUACUGCCUUCUGCCACUUUUCUUUGUGUUGAUAUCUUGGUGAUAUUUCUCCUCCUUUGUGGUGGCCUGUAAGUGGCAAAGGUCUAGCAACCGUAGGUGGAACCUUUGUGGUGUUCUUGGGUCUUUGAUUUUGGUAUUGAUUCGGGUUUUUG
rnacentral:lncRNA from 1 species